ensembl:misc_RNA 7SK 7SK RNA
GGAUGUGAAGGUGAUCAGACUACGACAUAUGUCACCCCAUUGAUUGCCAGGGCUGAUUCGGCUUAUCUGAAUAGCUAGCGGGGGAUCCUCAUCCUCCCUCACCACUACACGUGCAUCCCUCCCAAAACAGCUUGCUCAGCCAAAGAGGACAACUUCCCAGAGAGUAGAGAGUUCAAUUCUUAUGCAAAGGACACAUGAGUAGCUGUGCUCCCCAGCCAGAACCUCUAAACAUGCUCUCAGGGUUCAUUUGUAGGAGAACGUAGGGUGGACAGGCUUCCAAGACUCCAGGCAAAUCCAAAUGAGGCACCACAUGUGGCAGACUGCCUUUCUAC